CAUAUCACGGCGCUCUAUGGGGUUUGUCUGUGUUUGUGAACAGAGCCCCAGGACCUGCUCUCCAUGAAUUAUUUGGUGUUUUACGUUGUACACAGAGGAUAUUUUUGCAGAAUUCUGCAUGCAGAGUCUCAAUUUCGUGUUUGUCAUUUUGUAACUUUUUGGUUGGUGAGCGGAUCCCAGACCUCACAACCAUAAAGAGUUCUAUAACUGAUUCAAGUAUUUUUUGCCAGAUCCUAAUUGGUAUGUCAAAUUUUAUGAUCCUUUUGAUGGCAUAGAAGGCCCUUCUUGCCUUGUCUCUCAGAUUGUUCACAGCUUUGUGGAAGUUACGUGUGACGCUGAUGUUUAGGCAGAGGUAUGUGUAGUUUUUUGUUUGCUAUUGGGCAACGGUGUCUAGAUAGGAAUUUGUAUUUGUGGUCCUGGCAACUGGACCUUUUUUGGAAGACCAUUAUUUUUGUCUUACUGAGAUUUACUGUCAGUAAACCGGUCAAGCUGGAUCUCUCGCGAGGAGAGAGUAGAACCUCCAACUUCAGUAACUAACUACAGGGCCCUUCUCCUUUAAUGGCAAUAACUGGUGAACUGAUAAAUUAAGGAAAGUACCUGUAAUCCAGUACAGACAUUGGGACGGAAGAACCCAUGCACUAGACAGUCUCAGAAGAAGACUCAAUCUUUAAGGAGCUAGUGUAGCCUGAACAGCACACUUAAGCUAACCUUCAAGGAAAGGAGGAGAAGACCAUUUAGAGCACAGACUCUGCUACUCAAAGGAAGAGCCAGCAGACAGUAACCAGGGACACAACCCAAAGGAGAAGCCCACGAGGGACUAUCCAAACUCAGAGGAAACAAAGGAGGGACAAAGGAGGACACACAGCCAUCGUUCCUUUGUUCACCUCCAUAUGGCCUAACCAGAGCCAAAGUGUUCACAGACUGAAUGUCUUAUGCCUUUCAAAGCAAAAUAUGACAACAUUGAUAUGGAUGGGCUGACAUUUGUAGAGGCCUGAAAUUGCGGGACACUUGAAACAAAUAGAACAAUUAGACGAGUGAAUGCCGGGCAAAAUCCUUCGGCCUGGACUUAAUGGUCCCUUAUCGACAAGCUAAUUCCCCUGUGGAAUAGGAUGUGCCAAAGCAGGAAACAAAUGGAAGGAAUGGAAGCUUGUAUCUUGUAAAAAAACUGUCACAACCAGUUAAAAGGCCAGUUAGCGACUGUAAACCAAACUCUUUCUCACCGGCUUUACCAUACUGGAAGCUGUCAGGAGACCACCUGCAGACCUACUGUAUUUUUGUCACUUGAAAGUAACAGGUAUGCUUUAAGCCAUUCAUUUUGCAGCCUUAUAUUUCUUUUGAUGAGUCAAUUGAGGUAAAUGUUCAGUGCCUUUUAGAAGUAUUUAUACCCCUUGACUUAUUCCACAUUUUGUUGUGUAACAGCCUGAAUUCUAAAUGUAUAGCUUUAUCACCCGUCUAAACACAAUACCCCAUAAUGACAAAUUGAAAACAUGUUUUAAGAAGUUUUAGAAAAUGUAUUGAAAAUUAAAUACAGAAAUAUCUCAUUGACAUAAGUAUUCACGCCUGAGUCAAUACUUUGUAGAAGUACCUUUGGUGACGAUUACAACUGUGAGUCUUUUUGGGUAAUUCUCGAAAGAGCAUUGCACACCUGGAUUUUACAAUAUUUGCCCAUUAAUCUUUUUUGUCAAGUUGAUUGUUGAUCAUUGCUAGACAGCCAUUUUUAGAUGUUGCUAUAGAUUUUCAAGCCGAUUUAAAUAAAAAAAACUGUAACUAGGCCACUCAGGAAUAUUCAAUGUCGUCUUGGUAAGCAACUCCAGUGUAGAUUUGACCUUGUGUUUUAAGUUAUUGUCCUGCUGAAAGGUGAAGUCG
rnacentral:lncRNA from 1 species